UAAUCACAAUCUCUCUCUCAAAAAUUUCUCAGCACUGCACACUCACUCUCUCUGCAUAAUCUCGUCUGAUCUCACUUCACUAAUUAUAAAAUAUAAAUAAUUCAAUAAAUCAAAAUCACAUCACUCUCCCUUUCUCUCUCUAACAUUUUCUCUCUCUACUGUAACACAACAACACAAAUAAAAAACAGAGUAAUCAAUUUUUGAUUUCAUUUUCCUUCUUUUCAAAGCAAUGCAGCUACCGCGACAGAUCAUUUAAGUAGUAAAAAAAUGGCCGCUAAAUGUUCUCAUCGGAAUAACAGCGUCGGAUCCUUGAUUCUUGAACACCACCACCACCACCGCCAUAACCGUUCUUCCUCCACCGCCACCACCACCUCCUCUUCCUCCUCAGACAGUUCCCAUCAUUUCCGCCUCUGGUCUUCCUCAUUCCGCCGUACAAUCCUCGACGCCGUCAGCUGCGGCGGAAGCUCUCGAUACCGCCACCACGAGGACGACUUCGCUUCCACCACCACCGCCACAACAACCACCACCGUCACCAGUGCUACAAAUGUGAGUGAGAAAAAGAUAGGAAGAGUAAAAAACGGAAAAUCGGAGAAAUUAUCGGAUCUGUUGAGUAUAGCAGAAGCUGAAAGCGAAAUAGAGACGAUUAAAAAAGUAGAGGUAUUAGAAGAGUUGAAAUCCGUCGUUAAAGAGCUGCAAUUAGAAAAUGAGAGUGUUAAAAAAGAAUCAGCAGCUUCUCGUGUACGAUUGCUGGCGAAAGAAGACUGUGGAGUUCGAGUUACGCUUGCUAUGUUAGGUGCUAUUCCUCCUUUAGUUGCUAUGCUCGAUUUUGAUAAUGUCGACCUUCAUAUCGCUUCUCUCUACGCCUUGCUCAAUCUCGCCAUCGGCAAUGAUGCGAAUAAAGCUGCAAUUGUCAAAGCAGGGGCUGUUCAUAAAAUGCUGAAGAUCAUAGAAUCAUCAUGUCCACCAAACCCGUCCGUAUCUGAAGCAAUUAUAGCAAAUUUUCUUGGAUUGAGUGCUUUGGACUCGAAUAAACCUAUUAUAGGUUCUUCGGGUGCAAUCCCGUUCUUGGUAAAUGCCCUUAAGGAUUUGGACCAAAAAAGUAGCAUUCAAGCAAAACAAGAUGCUGUUCGAGCUCUCUACAACCUUUCAAUAUUUUCCCCUAAUGUAUCAUUUAUUGUAGAAACUAAUUUGAUUCCGUUUCUCAUGAAUUCACUGGGAGACAUGGAAGUAAGCGAAAGAAUACUUUCGAUUUUGAGCAAUGUAGUAUCGGCCCCAGAAGGUAGAAAGGCAAUUAGUAAAGUGCCGGAUGCUUUUACAAUUCUGGUCGAUGUGUUGAACUGGACAGACUCGCCUGGAUGCCAAGAGAAAGCGACUUAUGUACUGAUGGUGAUGGCACAUAAAGCGUAUGGAGACAGACAGGCCAUGAUAGAAGCUGGAAUUGUAUCAUCAUUGCUUGAAUUAACACUUUUGGGUAGCACAUUAUCGCAGAAACGGGCUUCGAGGAUCCUCGAGUGUUUGAGAGUAGAUAAGGGGAAGCAAGUUUCAGGUAGUUUUGGUGGGAAUUCGAGUGCAGCUGUCUCUGCUCCUAUGUAUGGAUCAUCAACCUCUUCAACAAACGCGAAUGGAGUCUCAAAAGAGUGUUUGGAGGAAGCGGAAGAUAUGAUGAGUGAGGAAAACAAAGCAGUGAAACAAUUAGUACAACAGAGUCUGCAGAACAAUAUGAGGAGAAUUGUUAAGAGGGCAAAUUUGCCACAAGAUUUCGUUCCGUCCGAGCAUUUUAAGUCGCUCACAGCAAGUUCAACUUCCAAAAGUUUACCAUUCUAAUGUGAUUGAAUGCAGCAAGAUAGGGAUGAAAUUUGAAAAGGAACACCUUGAAGCUACGGGAGGAAAAUGGAAGAAGAAUCUGAGGUGAGCUGUCUACUUAUAAAAUUUAUGCACAUUUUUUCCUCACCAGGUAUUUUUUAUUCUAAGUGCUGCUAUGGUGGUGGGGAAUGGUCACAUUAACUGAGUAAAGGAUCAUUUCGAUCUUUGAAUAUAUAAGACAAAGUUAUAUAAAUUAAGUUAUGCAAA